GACGAACCGUGCGAACGUUAUUCGGAAUUACUGGGCGUAAAGGGUGCGCAGGCGGCGUCGCAAGUCAGGCGUGAAAUCCCCGGGCUUAACCUGGGAACUGCACUUGAAACUACGAUGCUGGAGUAUGGCAGAGGGAGGUGGAAUUCCACGUGUAGCGGUGAAAUGCGUAGAGAUGUGGAGGAACACCGAUGGCGAAGGCAGCCUCCUGGGCCAAUACUGACGCUCAUGCACGAAAGCGUGGGGAGCAAACAGG
rnacentral:rRNA from 1 species